GAUCAUGGCUCAGGAUGAACGCUGGCGGCGUGCCUAACACAUGCAAGUCGAACGAGAUGCGUAUUGGAAAGCUUCGGCCAGAAGAUACGUUAUCUAGUGGCGGACUGGUGAGUAACACGUGGGUAACCUGCCUUAUGGAGGGGGAUAACAGAGAGAAAUCACUGCUAAUACCGCAUAAGCACACAGUACCGCAUGGUACAGGGUGAAAAGAUUUAUCGCCAUAAGAUGGACCCG
rnacentral:rRNA from 1 species